rnacentral:rRNA from 1 species
ACUGAAUAGAUACCCAGGUAGUCCACGCCGUAAACGAUGGAUGCUAGCAGUUAUGCGUAUCGACCCGCGUAGUUGCGAAGCUAACGCGUUAAGCAUCCCGCCUGUGGAGUACGGUCGCAAGACUAAAACAUAAAGGAAUUGACGGGGACCCGCACAAGCGGUGGAGCGUGUUGUUUAAUUCGAUGAUAAGCGAAGAACCUUACCCAGGCUUGACAUCCUAGGAAUUGCUGCGAAAGCAGCGAGUGCCUUCGGGAAUCUAGUGACAGGUGAUGCAUGGCCGUCGUCAGCUCGUGUCGUGAGAUGUUUGGUUAAGUCCAUUAACGAGCGCAACCCCUUUGUUUAGUUGAAUUUUCUAAACAGACUGCCCUGGUAACAGGGAGGAAGGAGGGGAUGAUGUCAGGUCAGUAUUUCCCUUACGUCUGGGGCUACAAACACGCUACAAUGGCCGGUACAAAGGGCUGCAACCCGCAGGGGUAGCAAAUCCCAUCAAAGCCGGUCUCAGUUCGGAUAGUAGGCUGAAACUCGCCUGCUUGAAGCC